GCUAACUGAAUCCACAACUUCAACAUGAGCAAAGGUCUCAUCAGACAGAAUAAGAUUUUGGCUGGUCUGUGAAAGAAGCAAUACAGGGCCAGACUGAGAAGAGUUCAAACAUUAGGAAAAUGAUUAUCAGGAUAGUGUGAUAGAGUGCACGACACCUGCUUCCUGUGCCUCUGAUUGUGUUUGCUGCUUCCAAGAUGCGUUCCAUCAGAUUGGAUGAAAUCGCUGCGGCCCUCCUCCACCCCAUUCAGCUCCUGCUCAUCAGAGCAAGGUCCAGUUCAACUCAGCUCAGCAGAAGCCCACUCCUCAUCACAUCCAGAUCUCCAGCUUUUGUUCAUCCC